rnacentral:ncRNA from 2 species
AACGUGCUCCGGGGUCGGUGAAAGUCCGAACCGGCGGUGAUAGUCCGCGAGCGGUGCAUGCGCCUUGACGGGUGCGUGUUCUGCUGAACCGGUGGAAUUCCGGUACCGACGGUAAUGGGUAGAAGCGCCAGUGGCGCAUCCGCCCUCAGUCCGGAUGGGAGGCAGCACGCG